rnacentral:rRNA from 1 species
ACGACUCUCGGCAACGGAUAUCUCGGCUCUCGCAUCGAUGAAGAACGUAGCGAAAUGCGAUACCUGGUGUGAAUUGCAGAAUCCCGCGAACCAUCGAGUCUUUGAACGCAAGUUGCGCCCGAGGCCACUCGGCCGAGGGCACGCCUGCCUGGGUGUCACGC